AUUGAACGCUGGCGGCAUGCCUUACACAUGCAAGUCGAACGGCAGCGCGGGAGCAAUCCUGGCGGCGAGUGGCGAACGGGUGAGUAACAUAUCGGAACGUGCCCUGGAGUGGGGAGUAACUAGUCGAAAGAUUAGCUAAUACCGCAUACGAUCUACGGAGUGAAAGUAGGGGGAGUCGCAAGACCUCAUGCUCGUGGAGCGGCCGGAUAUCUGAUUAGCAGUUGGUAGGGUAAAAGACCUACCAAGGCGACGAUCAGUAGCUGGUCUGAGAGGA
rnacentral:rRNA from 1 species